ensembl:lncRNA
ACUUGUUUCUGCGAGACACAAACGGGAACGAAUUUGAGCCGUUUAUGGAGAGCGGAAAAGGAAGCGAGGAAUACACCUCGGCCUCUCUCUCUCUCUCCCCCCGGGGGAGUGCUGAAAGCGUAUUGUUGUUGCCUGUUUGUUGUUCAGCGCCCUGUUGAUCAGUGUCUUCUGCCUCACUCUCUGUGCAGGCAAUCUGAUGGAAUCGUACACCGAAGCUCAAAUGUCCCCACAGCAUCUCAUACAGCGCAAACGUCCAUGUGCUCUCUUUCUCUUAUUGCUUCAGAUUGUGAUUAUUCCAGCCAAAGUAAUUUGAUGUCAUUUCUAUCCAGGGGCUCUUCUUGUCCAUCACUGCUUUCAUAUCUUCAACAGGCACGCAGCGCUGUCCAAAGCCGGGCCUCGGCGAUGUUGACCACAGGCAAAACAGCCAUCUGUAAUGUGUCCCCGCGUCCCUUUGGGGAGCAGGUGAAGGAUCUGCUGUCACUCUAGCAGGGGAAACAUCUGUCCCCAUUAAAUUACUACGGCCCUGCCAUGCAAGUUAUCGCUACUGCACUCCAUUUUACCGCCUGAGUCCUGCGCCUGUGGACAUGGGUAUAAAACAAGAUUAGUUAAAUGACUGGGAACAGGGGAAGUAGGGAGGGACGGACGGAGGGGAGACAAGAGAAAGCGGCGGAGACUCCACUUCCACUGUCGUCUGCCCUCGUGUCAAUUAGGAACUGGGGACUCGAGUGAAGCAAAAGAAAGACGCAAUCGCCUCAUCCAUCGGCUCAGACGUCACCGCGCGGCGUAAACAUCAUUACACGGACUUGAAUCAGAUCCGAGUAGCACCCACAACGCAGCUGCUGCAGUGUCACGGAAGGAUUGUAGCAUGGAUGCAUUAUGGAUAAAGUAAAAACGUUUGUGUUUCAGCUUCAUAUGAUGUGCAUGCAUUUCGGAGGAGUGCACGUGGGAGACGGAAUGGUGAGAGGACGGGGGGAGAAAACUAAUGGCAGGCCAGGUAGGGAAGAAAAAGAGAUGUCUGCAGGGUAAAAACAACAGCAGAAAAGAAUAAAUAAUGAAGGAUAUUGGCGGAGAGAGAUAACCCGGCUGGGAACAAACAUGAAAAUAGAGAUACUCAAAUGGAGAGACGUGGACACAUCAAACGCAAUCAGGUGACUUUUGUAUUUCUCUGUCACACACAUCAGACGACAUAUUUGAAAGAGGGAAAACGUAAUGCAAUAAAAGGUGGGAGUUCAAAUGGGUUUAGUAAAUUUUAAUAAGGUGUGUGAAUACAAGUCCAAUAGUUUAAUGCAACGGUGCAAUAUUUGGGAAAAUGUAUUUAACUGCUUUCUGGCGGAGAGUCGGAUGAGAGAUCAAUACCAAAAAAGUCAAUAGACCCGAGGCAGCGGCCUGGAACUGUCCAACAGUCAAAUAAAUUGACCUACACCUCCAAAGCUCACAAAUUAAAUGUGUGGAAGUGUAGCUUAUAAAUUUUACGUGCACUUAUGUGUCUUAAUAUUUUUCUGGAUAUUCCUUUAAUGCUCUUGUGAAUCAUUACCGCAUGCUGUAGCUUUCUCCAUAUCAGUUAUGCUUUCUUUCUUUCUCUAUUCCAGUCUCUGCCUCGCUGCCAAGUAGCAUUUCUUAGUCGAUAAUCUGUUUAUGAUCUGCUCACUUGUGAGAAAAAAAUAUGAAUUAUUUUAUGAUCACCCUGCACAACAACGUGACCUCUGUCCCAUAAAGCAGAGGGAAUUAACUGUGGCAUAGUAUUUAGUAAAGCUUUUGAUUAUUCAAUGGAGCACAGUGGGUGUCGUGAAGCUAAUAGCAAAAAGCAGCGCCGGCUAUCAUCUUUCACCCGGACAGUUUAAUUCUUAGCACCGCCUGAGUAUGAUGAGGCAAUGCGGCUCAUUGCUAUGCUAUUCAACACAAUGACCGGGGGCUGUGAUAAACAACUUUUUAAUUGCAAAUGCCUGAAGUGUGACCAGUGUCAGAGGUUUGCAUUUUACAUUAUAAUAGUGUUUCCAUUGCAGCAUGGUUCACCUCACAUAACAGAUGGUGAAAUGCAUACAAGGCUAUUCAAAGAUAUGGUAAAUGUUACUUUACUAAUUUACGUAGAAGUUUCAUAUUGAUUUAUUUUUACUUCUGGUUAACCAAUUUUAUUUGACAAGAGCUACGUGAGAUGACCUGCCCAUGUAUGAAUGUGAGCAAAAUAAUUAAGCAACUCUGAAUAUUAAUUCUAAAAAUCAUUCUUACCAUCUUCAACAUGUAAUAAAUCACUGUCGGUCUUCUGAUAUGGACACAAUUGUGUGUCGGGGUCUGCGGACACUAAAGGGCUUCUUCACUUACAAGGUAACGAUUGGACCCAAGGCAAUGGACAUGUAUAAAUCAAUCUGUAAUUAUUCUUUCAAGGUGACAAAAAACAUGAAUAUGCAAAGAGUAGAACACCAGGCGUAAACCUUUCUCUUCAGUUUUAAUUGUUCUGAUGAAAUACUGUUUCGUCCCUAUUUCCAUGUUUGAAUAAAUCAAUGACACCAAAGAAGAGAUAAGAGCUUCUCUUGUGUCUCUCUGCUCUUAUAAAUCUACCGGCCCACGGCACCCUCCAUCAUUGGUUUUACAGUAAACCAUUACAAGCAAGAUAUCUUGACUUGUAAUGAGACAAAUAUAGAUUUUACAAGUCUUGGC